UUUUAUUUUUUCGACUCCUUUUACGGUUGUAUUUUAAUCAGUCUGAACUUUUUCAACCGGACAUUUUACUUCAAAAAUUUGAUCAAAAUCUGUCUGUUUUCCAGAAGUAUAUUUCACGCUGAACAUUUUAAUGCAUUCAUUUUAAUUUUUCAAGCAUUUGUGCGUGCAAUUUUUAUUCAUUUCGAGUUCUUUUAUUUUUAUUUUUUUGUCAAAAUGUUUGAAAUAAUUAAAUAGAAUUAUUUA
rnacentral:lncRNA from 1 species